rnacentral:rRNA from 1 species
GACGAACGCUGGCGGUGUGCCUAAUACAUGCAAGUAGAACGCACAGUUUAUACCGUAGCUUGCUACACCAUAGACUGUGAGUUGCGAACGGGUGAGUAACGCGUAGGUAACCUGCCUGGUAGCGGGGGAUAACUAUUGGAAACGAUAGCUAAUACCGCAUAAUAUUAAUUAUUGCAUGAUAAUUAAUUGAAAGGUGCAAUUGCACCACUACCAGAUGGACCUGCGUUGUAUUAGCUAGUAGGUGAGGUAACGGCUCACCUAGGCGACGAUACAUAGCCGACCUGAGAGGGUGAUCGGCCACACUGGGACUGAGACACGGCCCAGACUCCUACGGGAGGCAGCAGUAGGGAAUCUUCGGCAAUGGACGAAAGUCUGACCGAGCAACGCCGCGUGAGUGAAGAAGGUUUUCGGAUCGUAAAGCUCUGUUGUAAGAGAAGAACGGGUGUGAGAGUGGAAAGUUCACACUGUGACGGUAUCUUACCAGAAAGGGACGGCUAACUACGUG